UCAUUUUUGGCUUUAGGGGAAUUGGGGAAAUUAGAGAGGAGGGUGAGAAGGAGAGGGAAAAUCUGGGAUGAGAAGAAGAAGGGGAACUUUGCAUCGAGCAAGCAAAGCAACAUCAUGAACCAGAUUAUUGUUGUUGAUGAUCCACUGUGAAGAACCUUCUUGGUGGCAUAUCCUCCCAGGCUGAAUCAUCAAUUGGUGUCAAUCAACUCUAGCUCCCAUGUUUCAUUCUUUGAUGUUAACAGCUCGUACCAUAAUGUGUGUCAUUGGGUUGUAAUGUUUAUGCUUUUUUUGUUGUAAUUAUAUAUAUCUUUAGAGAUGAAGUGGUGUAUCAAUUGUAUUAGGAUGUUUUGGAACGAAAUGGAAUGAGAGAGUUACAAAAAAAUGUGACAGUAGUAUUGUAUUUGAUAAAAAAAUGUUAAAAUGAUAGUCUUAAGUUCUCAU